rnacentral:rRNA from 1 species
AUGACGUCAAGUCAUCAUGGCCCUUACGGCCAGGGCUACACACGUACUACAAUGGUGGGGACAGAGGGUCGCGAUGCCGCGAGGCGGAGCCAAUCCCAGAAACCCCAUCUUAGUCCGGAUCGCAGUCUGCAACUCGACUGCGUGAAGUCGGAAUCGCUAGUAAUCGCGGAUCAGCAUUGCCGCGGUGAAUACGUUCCCGGGCCUU